UGGUGACCAUAGUGGAGGUGUCAUACCCGUUCCCAUCCCGAACACGGAAGUCAAGCCCUCUUACGCCGAUGAUACUGCAUUCGUGUGGGAAAGUAGGUAGUUGCCAG
rnacentral:rRNA from 1 species